rnacentral:rRNA from 1 species
GAUGAACGCUGGCGGCGUGCCUAACACAUGCAAGUCGAACGGUGAAGCCAAGCUUGCUUGGUGGAUCAGUGGCGAACGGGUGAGUAACACGUGAGCAACCUGCCCUGGACUCUGGGAUAAGCGCUGGAAACGGCGUCUAAUACUGGAUAUGAGCCUCUUCCGCAUGGUGGGGGUUGGAAAGAUUUUUUGGUCUGGGAUGGGCUCGCGGCCUAUCAGCUUGUUGGUGAGGUAAUGGCUCACCAAGGCGUCGACGGGUAGCCGGCCUGAGAGGGUGACCGGCCACACUGGGACUGAGACACGGCCCAGACUCCUACGGGAGGCAGCAGUGGGGAAUAUUGCACAAUGGGCGAAAGCCUGAUGCAGCAACGCCGCGUGAGGGAUGACGGCCUUCGGGUUGUAAACCUCUUUUAGCAGGGAAGAAGCGAAAGUGACGGUACCUGCAGAAAAAGCGCCGGCUAACUACGUG